UAGCCUGGUGGUUAAGGCUAUGGAUCGCCAAUCCGGAAACGACGGGUUCGAUUCCCGU
rnacentral:tRNA from 1 species